GGGCACUUGGCGCAGUGGUAGCGCGCUUCGUUCACAUCGAAGAGGUCACAGGUUCGAACCCUGUAGUGCCCA
rnacentral:tRNA from 4 species